rnacentral:rRNA from 1 species
CAAGUCGAGUGCGCGUUCCGUAGCAAUACGGGAUGGCGCACGGCGCACGGGUGCGUAACACGUGGGCAAUCUGCCCUUCGAUGGGGAAUAUCUUCGGGAAACCGAAGCGAAUUCCGCAUAACAUUCCUUGGACCUCGGUUCGAGGACUCAAAGCCGUAAGGCGUCGAAGGAGGAGCCCGCGCACGAUUAGCUAGUUGGUAGGGUAACGGCCUACCAAGGCUUUGAUCGUUAGCUGGUCUGAGAGGAUGGCCAGCCACACUGGAACUGAGACACGGUCCAGACUCCUACGGGAGGCAGCAGUGGGGAAUCUUGCACAAUGGGCGAAAGCCUGAUGCAGCGACGCCGCGUGGGGGAUGAAGCAUUUCGGUGUGUAAACCCCUUUCGACCCGGAAGAAUGCCUCGCAAGAGGACUGACGGUACGGGUAUAAGAAGCCCCGGCUAACUACGUGCCAGCAGCCGCGGUAAGACGUAGGGGGCCAGCGUUGUUCGGAAUUACUGGGUGUAAAGGGUUCGUAGGCGGUGCGGCAAGUUGGGAGUGAAAUCUCUGGGCUCAACCCAGAGGCUGCUUCCAAAACUGCUGUGCUUGAGUGUGGGAGAGGCGCGUGGAAUUGCAGGUGUAGCGGUGAAAUGCGUAGAUAUCUGCAGGAACACCCGUGGCGAAAGCGGCGCGCUGGACCACUACUGACGCUGAGGAACGAAAGCUAGGGGAGCAAACAGGAUUAGAUACCCUGGUAGUCCUAGCCCUAAACGAUCAGGACUUGGGGUGCCACCCGUUCGGGUGUCGUCCCGGAGCUAACGCGUUAAGUCCUGCACCUGGGGAGUACGGUCGCAAGACUGAAACUCAAAGGAAUUGACGGGGGC